rnacentral:rRNA from 1 species
AUUGAACGCUGGCGGCAUGCCUAAUACAUGCAAGUCGAACGAGUGGCGGACGGGUGAGUCAUGUCUGGGAACCUGCCUGAUGGCGGGGGAUAACUCCUGGAAACGGUAGCUAAUACCGCAUACCAUCCGCUGUUCCCAGAUGGGAUUCGCUUGUUGGUGGGGUAACGGCUCACCAAGGCGACGAUCCAUAGCUGGUCUGAGAGGAUGACCAGCCACACUGGAACUGAGACACGGUCCAGACUCCUACGGGAGGCAGCAGUAGGGAAUAUUGCACAAUGGGCGAAAGCCUGAUGGAGCCAUGCCGCGUGUGUGAAGAAGGCCUUCGGGUCGUAAAGUUCUGUUAGUAGGGAAGCGGUACCUGGAGAGAAAGCAACGGCUAACUACGUGCCAGCAGCCGCGGUAAUAC